rnacentral:rRNA from 1 species
CUGCCCGAUAGAGGGGGAUAACCACUGGAAACGGUGGCUAAUACCGCAUAACGUCGCAAGACCAAAGAGGGGGACCUUCGGGCCUCUCACUAUCGGAUGAACCCAGAUGGGAUUAGCUAGUAGGCGGGGUAACGGCCCACCUAGGCGACGAUCCCUAGCUGGUCUGAGAGGAUGACCAGCCACACUGGAACUGAGACACGGUCCAGACUCCUACGGGAGGCAGCAGUGGGGAAUAUUGCACAAUGGGCGCAAGCCUGAUGCAGCCAUGCCGCGUGUAUGAAGAAGGCCUUCGGGUUGUAAAGUACUUUCAGCGGGGAGGAAGGCAUUGUGGUUAAUAACCGCAGUGAUUGACGUUACCCGCAGAAGAAGCACCGGCUAACUCCGUGCCAGCA